rnacentral:rRNA from 1 species
CCUACGGGCGACAGCAGUGGGGAAUAUUGGGCAAUGGGCGCAAGCCUGACCCAGCAACGCCGCGUGAAGGAAGAAGGCUUUCGGGUUGUAAACUUCUUUUCUGAGGGACGAAGAAAGUGACGGUACCUCAGGAAUAAGCACCGGCUAACUACGUGCCAGCAGCCGCGGUAAUACGUAGGUGGCAAGCGUUAUCCGGAUUUAUUGGGUGUAAAUGGCGUGUAGGCGGGAAAGCAAGUCAGAUGUGAAAACUCAGGGCUCAACCCUGAGCCUGCAUAAGAAACUGUUUUUCUUGAGUGCUGGAGAGGCAAUCAGAAUUCCGUGUGUAGCGGUGAAAUGCGUAGAUAUACGGAGGAACACCAGUGGCGAAGGCGGAUUGCUGGACAGUAACUGACGCUGAGGCGCGAAAGCGUGGGGAGCAAACAGGAUUAGAUACCCGAGUAGUC